rnacentral:rRNA from 1 species
UACAGAGGGGGCAAGCGUUGUUCGGAAUUACUGGGCGUAAAGGGCGCGUAGGCGGCCUUCUAAGUCGAACGUGAAAUCCCUGGGCUCAACCCAGGAACUGCGUCCGAUACUGGAAGGCUUGAAUCCGGGAGAGGGAUGCGGAAUUCCAGGUGUAGCGGUGAAAUGCGUAGAUAUCUGGAGGAACACCGGUGGCGAAGGCGGCAUCCUGGACCGGUAUUGACGCUGAGGCGCGAAAGCCAGGGGAGCAAAGCGGG